rnacentral:tRNA from 1 species
GCGGGCGUAGUACAUCGGCUAGUAUGUGGGCUUCCCAAGCCCGAGAGGUGGGUUCGACUCCCAUCGCCCGCUCCA